AUGGCUUCCUGCGCAUUUGUGGAUCGCUUUCUGUGCAUUUGUGAAUUGCUGCACUCAUUUGUGGAUCGCGUUCUGUGCAUUUGUGGAUUUGAAACAUUUCUAACGUCAAGAUGUGCACAAGAAUCCACAAAUAGGUGGACUCCGCCCACCGUCUACUCCAGCCAAUCAGACAACAAGCACAUUGUGCUGACCAAUCGUGGCACGAUCUCCCUUCAACCAAUCACAGAGUCUUUUCUAGAAACAUUGUGCAAAAGACCCAGACGGAGGAGGACUUUUAUUAUGACAGCGAGUAUCGCUCACUCAAAGCAAUGGCGGAAGAGCGCUAGCUUUGUACAAGUGUCUCGCUGUGUGAGGCAUGAAUCGUGUUGUUGUGGAGACAAUAGCACCAGAUUGUUACGCGGUGUGUUCAUGUGCGUCAUUAAAGGAAACCACAUCUACACAUGCCUAUGAUCUGGCUAAGCUCUCAAAUAUAGCCAGGCACUCAUGCAUCUCCAUUCACAUGCCAUGCAACCAAGCUCAUAAAUACAGCUCUGGCCUAUCUCUCUUAAAGGAGCAUACCCUCAUCCUGUGCAGAGCUUCAUUAAAGGACUACUACCAAUAUUCACCAUUACCUUCAUCAACGACUGCUCUGCUAUCCAAGUUGUGCCUCUCAUUCAGAGUUCUGUGCUGUGUGUGCUACCCUUAUAAAUACUGAAUGCUGGCUCUCUCCUAUCUAAUGUAUGUUCUCUUGUGUGCCUAAUAAACAGCUCAAGUUGG